rnacentral:tRNA from 1 species
GCCGGGGUGGCGGAACUGGCAGACGCAGCAGACUUAAAAUCUGCCGGGCCUAACAGCCCUUGCGGGUUCGAGUCCCGCCCUCGGCA